GGGGACCAGGUUUUUCUCCACUGCCUAGGCAAUGGACCCAGGCUCUGGCUGCCGACGGAUGAAGAGCCUAGGUGUUUUUGAUCUGUGCCUUCUCUGUUCCUCAGAGAUAUGCGGGCGUCCUUCUAGAAGCCCAUCUCGCUCACCUGUGUGGUCACCCUUGUCCCGCCCUUCCUCCGAAGGCUUCAUUUCCCUUUAGGAGGAAGAACUCAGCCAACAGAGAAAAGCAGAGCUGAAAAUGGAGCCAGUGUGGAGAAGGAGAGGAAAGCAAAGAGCCUGGAUCCAGCUAUGCCUGAAAUUAGAGAUUCCAGAACUCUCAAACACACGAGUAAUAAACAUCCCUUUUGUUUAAAAUAUUUUGAGAUGACUGUCAUUAAUCUUUACCCAAAGAGACCUAAGACAGAGACUCUUAAACUUCAGGUUAUUAAAUUUUAUCUAUAG
rnacentral:lncRNA from 1 species